rnacentral:snRNA from 1 species
GUGCUUGCUUCCACAACACAUAUACUAAAAUUGGAACAAUACACAGAAGAUUAGCAUGGCCCCUGUGCAAGGAUGACAUGCAAAUUUGUGAAGCGUCCCAUAUUUUU